CUUACAAAAAACAGAACGGUCACCUGCCUGUGUGAGACCUUGGGGUGAUUCCUCCCCCACCAAUGCCAUUUAACCUACUUAUCAUUUAUUGCUGGAAGAUUGACGUAUGCUUAUUUAUUAUAAAAGCCUGCAUCAAUGUAUUAAUUGCAGAUAAUUAAAUAUCUGAAGGGAGAAAAAAAAAAGUGGUAUCUUGUGCAGCCUAUUGAAUGCUGCAAACAAACUUUUUUUUUUUUUUUAAAUCAUGUCACGGCCACAGUAAUGAGAACCCCUGACAGAGGAUGCACCCCGCAGAGGUCAUGCCAGGAUUUUGGGCAUUCU